rnacentral:rRNA from 1 species
UACGUAGGGUGCGAGCGUUGUCCGGAAUUAUUGGGCGUAAAGAGCUUGUAGGCGGUUUGUCGCGUCUGCUGUGAAAAUCCGGGGCUCAACCCCGGACUUGCAGUGGGUACGGGCAGACUAGAGUGUGGUAGGGGAGACUGGAAUUCCUGGUGUAGCGGUGAAAUGCGCAGAUAUCAGGAGGAACACCGGUGGCGAAGGCGGUUCUCUGGGCAUGUCCUGACGCUGAGGAGCGAAAGCGUGGGGAGCGAACAGG